rnacentral:rRNA from 1 species
AGUCUGACGGAGCGACACCGCGUGAAUGAUGAAGGCCGGAAGUUGUAAAGUUCUUUUGCAGACAAAGAAUAAGUGUAGGAGGGAAUGCCUACAUGAUGACGGUAGUUAUGUGAAUAAGCCCCGGCUAAUUACGUGCCAGCAGCCGCGGUAAUACGUAAGGGGCGAGCGUUGUUCGGAAUUAUUGGGCGUAAAGGGCAUGUAGGCGGUUUAGUAAGCCUGAUGUGAAAUCUACGAAGCUUAACUCGUAAACUGCAUUGGGUACUGCUGAUCUUGAAUCAUAGAGGGGGAACUGGAAUUCCAAGUGUAGGGGUGGAAUCUGUAGAUAUUUGGAAGAACACCGGUGGCGAAGGCGGGUUUCUAGCUAAUGAUUGACGCUGAUAUGCGAAGGUGCGGGGAGCAAACAGGAUUAGAUACCCUGGUAGUCCGCACAGUAAACUAUGUACACUAGGUGUUGGGGUAAGACUCAGUGCCGUUGCAAACGCAAUAAGUGUACCGCCUGGGGAGUAUGCCCGCAAGGGUGAAACUCAAGGGAAUUGACGGGGGGCCC